rnacentral:tRNA from 1 species
GGGGUUGUGACUCAGCGGUAGAGCACGCGCCUAACACGUGUGAGGCCCUGGGUUCAAUCCUCAGCACCA